AUGGCCAAAUCACAUUGAAACACUGGUUCCUGUAUGAUCACUGAAGUUAAACAAUGUUGAGCUUGGUCAGUACUUAGAUGAAUGAAUACUUGGGAAUACCAAGUGCUGUAA